GCCACACCCUCUUCGACAGCACGCUGCUACCAGGAAAUGGCGAGCUAAUGUUGCGUUCCAGUUGUACACGGAACUGGGAAAUCCCGUCUCCCCAGUCCGAAAAAUCAACUGCAACACCCUAUGACGCUGGAGCAACUCCAGCGACUCCACUUUUAGAGAACCUCUGAGAAGAGUAGGUAAAUUUCAGACAAGCAGCAAAACUGGGUGUCAAACUGACAACAGCUGCUGCCUGUAUGUAUGUAAAAAAAAAAGAAAAAGGAAAAAAAAGGUGAACAAACGCAAAACAAAUUUUCAUGCUCUUCAGCCAAACACCCCUGGUUGAAUACUUUUUUCAAAAGAGGGGUUAGCAGUAGUGUGCUAACCAUAAUUCAACAGGACUUGGAGGAAUACUUCAGGCCUCUUGGAGCCACUGAAUCACUUUCAUUUGCUUCAUAGGGUGCUCUGCAGCUCGCAGCCUAAUAUGUCUGGUCUCCUUGGUGGAACGGAGACGGCUGAUUUCCUACAGCUCCCUGGGUAUGGUGUGGUUAGCCCAGGAGCGUGCUGCGAGGCCCUGACAGCAAGACAGUGCUGGACCAAAGCUGCAGGAAGCUGAAAAUAAAAACCUGAGAAGCAUGGCCUCCCUGAGCCAAUACGUUCUGCAGCCAACUUCAGCUGCAGUUCCAGGUUUUUUUGGAUGGAGCCCAUCUUCGAACAUGAAUUUUCAAGAUUUGCAAAAAGUUCCUAAAUUGAGGACCUCAAUUGACUUAAGUUCAGACCUGUCAGCAAAGCUUCCAAGGCGAGCACAAGCUGCAAGAAGAUCUGCAGGCAAAUUCUCCUUUCAACACUUUCAGACACUGUAUCACAACUUCUCUACUUUCUUUAUGGAAUACUAGAAUCCACGCUAACAUUUAUGUGGUUUCAUGUCAAUUUGCAUAAAAUGAUUUGCCAUUUACCUCCCCUGAAUGGGUCUUCAAGUUUAGCAGAUACAGCAUAGCAUUCAAAGAUGGCACAGAUCGUAGUUCUUUGUUUUCUAGCAGCUGCAGCUGGAAUAGUGUGAACAAAAUUCUUGGUAAAAUGGAAUUUGCAUGUCUGCAUUUUUCAAAUUUAAUUAAAAAUGGCUCAAGACAAACAAUUUUGCACUUAAAUUCUUGUGUCUUUUGUGUUUUUUGAUUAGUUGUAUAAUCAAGUACACAGUCUUGCAAAAAACACUGAAUCAGGAGGACAAAAUUACUUAUAAAUGAGAAUUGAUUUAUGGUUGCUGUGCUUCUUGCUGUUUUUAAAUUGGCUGUGAUUUGGUCAGUCUGGAUUUGGGCUCGCUGCCUUUGAUUAGUUUUGGCAUUAGGUCAAGGAACAAAUAUAAUGCCUUGCAGAAGUAUUCAUAUACCUUGAACUUUUUCCCAUUUAGUCACUGAACAGCCACCCUCUUCAAUGUAAUUUAUUGGAAUUUAAUAUUCUGUGAAGGUCUCAGAUUUGUUAGAGAACAUUGGUGAAAAAUGUGUUUCGAUCCCCUAUUGAUUUAUGACGUUAAAUAUGAAGCUAUAGCAAACGUUUCUGUUUUUAUUAUUUGAAAACCGUGUAUUCUUUUUACUCUAUUCUCCAUGUACAUGCAUAGAUUUAUUGUGAACACAAUAAAUCUAUGCAUUUAUUG